UCCCCGACUCUUACACUUCAUCUUCAUCGUUUCAUAAUCACAAUCCACUCUCACCAUUCAAUUCCCUUAUUUACUCUUUUCAUUACAGAUGUUGUCGUUCCAUCUCCUACUUUUUUCUCUCUUAUACAAUCAUUUUUCUCGAAUCGUUCGUUGGUCAAUAUCCAAAACCCUCUAGAGGAGAACAACAAGCGAUGGCCAUGAAAUCUGUUCUGAACUCCGGUCAGUGCAAGGCUUCGUCUCCUCUAAUCGUUGUCCAGGAACCACAGCCUCAGGAAUUUCUCUGCUACCAAAAGAAAAGCUAUCUGUCGCGUUUCUGAUCACUCUUUGAGUAUCGCAUCCUACUUGAUGAUUUUUUUUUUUAUUAGUUCAGAUUCAGAUUUUCAACAUCUGUCGUAACUCUCUGCAUACAUGUUCUGUAAUGUAUUCCUUUGGGGAUUUUGUAUAGGCAUGCCAAAAGAAAGGCGCUCUUUUUAUCUUGAAACAGAUUUGUAGUUUAUGUCGGUUCUUUUCUUCCGUCGCUUGAUUAUUUCAGUAUAGUUGAACUUGACAUCAUCUUAGAUUUGGAGAAUGGGCAUACUUUGCACUUGGUUGUGAGGCAUCCAGCAGAAUCAAUGCCUUCAUCUGGUACGCCUUCAGAAGGAGCUAAUGCAAAUGAUGGAAUUGGUACUAAUGGUGGACCAUCUCGAGGCCGUGGACAGCGUAGUCCUCGGGAGAUUCAAUUCUGCAGAUCAGACUGAAGGCUUUGUUAGCCGGAUUCAUAUUACUGUAUUUCGGUUUAAUGUAGUAUCUCAUAUAAGGUCCGCGUUUCCUGAAUGCUACCUCGGUAACACACUUCUAUUUGACAAUGAAUUGUUUACUGGCUAGAGUGUUCUUAUAGCGUUAUCUGGAUAUGAUGAUUUUAGCAGCUCCACAGCUUCCAAGUAUGGAGGUAUGAAUAAAACUGAAACCAAUAACUCUUACUUAGCUGAACAACAACGUUGUUAACUCUCCAUUGCAGGUUGGUGAACUCUAUUCUUUUCAUUUUAGAUAUAUGUUAGCUCAUGAAUCAUGACCUCUCCAUGCAUAUUACUUUCCUCCUGCUAUUGACCAUGUAGACUGCAGAGUUUCUGUGCACUGCCUAGGUCCGUGACAUUGACACCACUAAUGGAUGGUGCUACAACUUCUGCUCUAAAUGCUACCGAAAACUGCGCUUGGUGCCAUGAAGACACUGCAGUUGGUGCUGUGAGGUAUUGCAAUCGAAUUUAUAUUUAAGAAUUCUUUUUCUAGUAAAUAUAAUA